UGGUGCUCCUCAAUUUCUCUGAUCCAGUCAUCUGAAAACUCGGUCAGAAUGCCUUAGCCGCCGACUCUAGCAAUGACGUCUAGGGAUCCGACAAGUUGAUCCGGAGCCAGAUCAUUUGACAGGUUUGCAAUUUUUUUUCUUUAUUAUUAAGAAGUAUAUGUUACAAAACAUAUCUUCAACAUAAUAAUUUAGUGAUUAAUGAUGAUUUGUGGUUGAGAUGAUAGGGAAAUUGCAUAAGUAUUUGAUUUGAACUCUUAUUGUGGUUUGUUUUGUUUAGUAUUUACAGAAAGCCCUAAUUCGACCGAAUUGUUAUGUUAUUUCAGACAUCAAUGCACAUGACUAUUUCGAAUUUUGAUUCUUCUUUUUAUCAUUUCAUAUAUGUAUUUAACAGGUAUGUUAUUUAUACUUUGCAACAAACCGGUUUUAAUUUUUGUAAAGAAAUAUAUAUAUAAUUUUGUACCAAGAAUGAUGGUUUGAACGGUGAGUAUUGGUGAAACAUGUAUUUUGUAGAUGAACUGGUUAAAUUCUUAUUACUAGAUUUAAUUGAAUACGUGCAUACCACAUGCUCGAUGAAAUGCCCGUGAGAGGAUUUGAUAUGACUUUGGUGCAUAAAAAUGUUUCAAACCUUAUAAUUUAAUGUACACUACAUUAAUGAUAUUUUUUCUUGAUAUGAAUGAACAAUCAAAUUUCAACUCAUCCCCACCAAUGCGUUCAUCUUCACUUGACAACCCUGCUUACAAUAUUAAUGAGUUGUGUUUUAACCUUUAAUUAAUGAGUUGUUAAAUUACAACUACAAUAUCUACUUGACUACUUCAGCCGAUGAGGCCUGGAUCAAUUGGUUUGGAAGGAGACACCCAAUGGCCUUUCAAUACAAAGGUUCUAGGUUGAAUUUAGCAUGCCAGGGUGGAGAGGAGGAUCUGAUUUUGAACCAUUAG
rnacentral:lncRNA from 1 species